GACGAACGCUGGCGGCGUGCCUAAUACAUGCAAGUAGAACGCUGAAGGAGGAGCUUGCUCUUCUGGAUGAGUUGCGAACGGGUGAGUAACGCGUAGGUAACCUGCCUGGUAGCGGGGGAUAACUAUUGGAAACGAUAGCUAAUACCGCAUAACAGUAGAUGUUGCAUGACAUUUGCUUAAAAGGUGCAAUUGCACCACUACCAGAUGGACCUGCGUUGUAUUAGCUAGUUGGUGGGGUAACGGCUCACCAAGGCGACGAUACAUAGCCGACCUGAGAGGGUGAUCGGCCACGCUGGGACUGAGACACGGCCCAGACUCCUACGGGAGGCAGCAGGAGGGAAUCUUCGGCAAUGGACGGAAGUCUGAACGAGCAACGCCGCGUGAGUGAAGAAGGUUUUCGGAUCGUAAAGCUCUGUUGUAAGAGAAGAACGAGUGUGAGAGUGGAAAGUUCACACUGUGACGGUAUCUUACCAGAAAGGGACGGCUAACUACGUG
rnacentral:rRNA from 1 species